rfam:Camelus ferus unplaced genomic scaffold scaffold2519, whole genome shotgun sequence.
GAGGGUAUAGCUCAAGUGGUAGAGUGCAUGCUUAGCAUGCACGAGGUCCUAGGUUCAAUCCCCAUGUACCUCCA